GACCAUUGCAUAGCGACCUGAAAAUCCCAAAGGCAUCAGAUUCUAUCUGGUCUUAGAAGUUAAACAGGCUCAGUUUUGGUUAGUACUUGGAUGGGACACUGCCAAUAAAUACCAGAUGUUGUAGGCU
rnacentral:rRNA from 11 species